UUAAAGUGAAUUGUUAAGAUAACAUAUUGUUGAUUAAAUCAGGAAUCAAAAAGUGACAUCGUUUUACUUGGUGUUCAACAAGAUAAUAUCUACCCUCAAGCUUACAUCAGAAGUGAGAUCAGGACUCUACUCUCACUGGCGUGACGUGUUUGAACAUGUUCGAAGUACAGCAAAAAAAACAUGAUGCAGAUCAGAAUACUAGUAGUGGUACGCCACAAGAGCGUGAAUGCAGCAUACGUAAGUCGUGUAAUAACGUCUCUGUUACCUCGAUGGAAGAUCUGAGCCACGAAGAAAUCGUCACAUCUUACGUUCUGGCUCAUGUUGCCCAGUUUGACUGUCUACUUCAUCACAUGGCAUUUACUAACGGAAAUACAACACGUAACAAGCUAUUGCAAGAAAUUAAGGCAAGUGCAAAUCUCAAGUGAAACUUCGAUCGCAAUAAUGGAUCUGUCAUGACAAGUGGGUAGUUCCGACACGAAUCGUUUUUAAGCCAAUGACUACUGUUAGAGUUACAUGGCACUAGUACAGUAAACCAGGACAUGAGACUGUGAAUUGUCGCUGAAAUUUUAGAAUCUACUCGAUUCAAUACCAAUAACACUACACGUUCGAUGACUUCGGGCUCCAGCAAGCAAGCAAACAAGAAAGCAAGCAAGUUUCCGUGAGGAAGAAAAAUUGACACAUCUGAAGUCGUCGUGACCUGUAAGAUAAGACGUCCGGUGCGUUCGUGUCUGGCGAUGCGGCGGUGUUCGGGUUCCGCUGGCGGAUGCAGGUUUUUCCGGUGAAGUGCGUGCUUGUGCGUGCUUGACAAGUGUUCGCGGUUGGCUUCCUCAGUGUGGGAGUAACAUCGUGUAAGAGAGGUGGAACCCGUAAAAUUGUAGUUUGCGUGGUGGCUGGUAAGAUUUGUUGCGGUAAGAAGUUUGCAUGGUGGUAAAAUGUCUUGUGAGUCUGCACAGGUAGCCGGAGGUGAGACUUCCGCGGUCGCGGCCCACCCAGUCCGCGAGAACCGGGCAGAUCGCCUCGACGGUACGGAGGCCGGCUGACGGGUCCGCCAAACGACGAGACCACGCCUCCAGCACGGACUGCCGAUAUUGGAGCCCCCGCGCUCCGGCUGCACUUGCGCUAGGGCGCGCCGCCUCGUAGGAGACUGUGAGGCUCGAGCUGCUACUUGCCUCACAAAAAUACAGCCUGCAAAACCUGAACAACCUCCUCAUCCGUGGGCGCCCGGCUCUCGCCUGCAAGUCGGCUGUUACGUGUGCGGUGAUGCGAGCCAUGUAGCUUCUGGGUGUUCCAUGCGCUACAAGAAGAAAAACGACACUGCUCCAGGUGCUGUGGCAGGUUCAACCAGAGACGUCAACGUGUGUUCCAGAGCUUCAGUGUGUUACAGAUAAGUGGUUUUGGCUUCCCCUUUAUGUUCCAUUCAGGGUCAGAAUGUAGUCUUAUAAAACAAAGUCAUAGUAAUUUAUUCAAUGGUAAGCGGUUUCAUGAACAAGUCACUCUUUGAUCUGAAAGUAACUUAGUCCAAUCAUGAUGGCAAGAGCACUUAGGGGAUAUUCAACUCGCCCUUAAUAGUGCACGUUGUCUAGUAACAGGGUUUACUCCAAUAGAAUAGAUGUUUGCCGUUCAGGGUAGUUCACUUGAAAUAUCUUAAAGUUUCAACAGAGUGAUAAUCCCUCUAGAUUAGAUCUUGAUUUAGCACGGUCGAAGACCGGCGAAAACAUAAAAAAAAGGGCACAAACAGAAGCUUGGUUUAGUCGAGGCAAAGCUAAAGUCAAACUCUUUUCCGCUGGGGAUUUUGUUUUCGUAAGUUGACCGAAAAUGUAAAGGUCCCUUCAACAUUACUGCAGUUUUGGAAAACGAUAGGUAUAAAUUGAGACAUGUAAAUAGUUCUAAUAGAUGUACAAAUUUCCCCAUGAAAACUUACGUGAAAUACCUCGAGGCCCAUCAGGCCUACUAGAAAUUUCUGAAAAUUAUAGUGACGAUGACGUGACGGCGUACACAGAUGGGUUAAUUAAUCUUGUUCAUGAAACUGAUCUUAAUGAUGACGACUCUAUCACUGACAAUAGAAGCGACAUUUUUGUCCGCAAAUAGCGAUACAGCAAACAUAGUCUGUGGGUAGUGAUACAAUGUCUGUAAGCUCAGGCACCUCAGUUGCAGGUGUAGGUAAUGUAGAAAACGAUGGUCGGUCUCGCACUAUUUCUGAAGAAAUUCCGUAUAAAUGUUCUGGUUUAAGAAAUGUUUUAAGAAACGCUACCGUACACGCAGAUUAGAAUUGUAUGUGGCUAGAGAGAUGUUAAUCCGGACUAGCAAAAAAAAAAAAAAGAGAAAAAAAAAAAAAGAAAGUGUGAAGUCAUUGAAGGGUCUGUCCGGUCCAAUGGCUUGGCUAUAGGGAUUUUCAUCCAGAUUAGCCACAACAAUUAGCUACAGGGAUUGCGAUUCAGUCUAGCAUUAUCCGGUCCAGUUCGAAAAAAGUUAAAAGGGACAUACUUACAUACCUGAAGAGUUUCAAAUGAACUGGCCCAGGUAUGUAAGCAGUCUGAAGCUUAUUUAUAGCCAGUAUAGGAUUUUCUGAAGAAUUAUGCGAACCGAACCGUACUAGAUUGUUAAUAUCAUAGACCACGUUUUAUGUUGUAUCCGUUAAUGUCAGGAUGAACGAACACGUUUGUUGUUCACAGACAUACCAUAAGAAUGCGCGCACGAGGACGAGCGCACGUCAGUAUGGCCGUGACGGCGUUAACGAUAUUUAUGUUAUAUAGCACGUGCAAUAGGAGUGACUCAAACAAACCAGGUGCGCCGGCCGUGUCGUUCCACUCGUAAACAACAGCUGCAACAGAGGUGACUCAUAAGCCAGCUGCGCCGGCUAGUAUAAAAAGGCGGAAGGUGCCUUGAAAUGAACAUUCGUUGGACUGCGCUUGCCUGGUGCACUUACUAUAUCCUUGUUACGUUGUGUGAUUCAGUGACUGUUGUACGUACUGGUUAAAGUUGGACAAGUGUUAAAGUGAAUUGUUAAGAUAACAUAUUGUUGAUUAAAUCAGGAAUCAAAAAG